CCCAGAGCCCCCAGGACCCAUCCCUGAGCUGUUUGGGGAGACACAGGCAACCCCUUCUUUGGCUGGCUAGGGUUUCACGAGCCUCGGGAAAGAAGAUGCAGCUAAAAUUAACCGCUAUCAAGCUGUCAGCCCUGGAAAUAAACCUGCCUCCCAUUGGCUGCCGGUGACGUCACUGCUGGGUUAAUAAUAGCCGCCGAGUGCCUAACGAACCACCUGUGCAUGGGGCACAGCCAGGCCAUCACCCCGGGGCCACCGUCGCAGGUUGGUUCACUGCUGGGCCCUGUGGACUUGUUCUCAUGCUUUGUCAGUGUCGAUGUCGAAAGCCCAAAGUGUUUCCCAAGUCCUGCUACCUUGGCUCUGUCCUGGGGGACGGAGCAGCAAGACACCCCUGCUGUCUGUGAAGAUAUGGCUGUUGGAAGGCAUGGGAGGGGCCUCGUAUCAGGGAACCAGUGAGUGGCCCCAGGCUGCCAGCCAACAAGAAAGCAGGGACCUCAGUCCUACAGCCACAAGGAACUGAAUUCUGCCAACAACCACGUGGCCUUCAAAGAGGACCUCAAGCUUCAGAAAGAAAUACCAACACCUUGGUGGCACUCUUGAAACCCCGAGCCACCCAGCGGAAUUGUGUGUGGGCUCCUGACCCCCCAAAACUGAG
rnacentral:lncRNA from 1 species